rnacentral:tRNA from 1 species
UCCUGGUUAGCUCAAUUGGUAGAGCGACGGCCCCGGAAAACCGUUGGUCCCGGAUUCGAUCCCCGGACCAGGAC